rnacentral:rRNA from 1 species
UACGUAGGGUCCAAGCGUUAUCCGGAAUCACUGGGCGUAAAGCGUGCGUAGGCGGCGUGUUAAGUGAGAUGCGAAAUCUUGUGGCUCAACCAUAUAGACUGUAUCUCAUACUGGCAUGCUAGAGGAUGGCAGAGGCAAGUGGAAUUAGUAGUGUAGCAGUGAAAUGCGUAGAGAUUACUAGGAACACCAAUGGCGAAGGCAGCUUGCUGGGCCAUUUCUGACGCUGAGGUACGAAAGCGUGGGGAGCGAACAGG